rnacentral:rRNA from 1 species
UCAUAGAGGGUGAGAACCCCGUUCAUGGCGAGAUGACCCAGUCCUAUGUAAAGUGCUUUCUAAGAGUCGAGUUGUUUGGGAAUGCAGCUCUAAGUGGGUGGUAAAUUCCAUCUAAGGCUAAAUAUUGGCGAGAGACCGAUAGCGAACAAGUACAGUGAUGGAAAGAUGAAAAGAACUUUGAAAAGAGAGUGAAAAAGUACGUGAAAUUGUUGAAAGGGAAGGGCUUGAAGUCAGACAUGGUAUUCAGUGAUCAACUGUCUUUCGGGACUGUGCACUCGCUGUUUACUGGGCCAGCAUCGGUUUAGGCGGUGAGAUAAAUGCAAGAGAAUGUGGCUCCGCUUUCGGGUGGAGUGUUAUAGCUUUUGUUCAUAUCACCAGCUUGGACCGAGGACCGCGCUUCGGCUAGGAUGCUGG